UAGGGAAUCUUCGCNCUAUGGGGGGAACCCUGACCGAGCAACGCCGCGUGAGUGAAGAAGGUUUUCGGAUCGUAAAGCUCUGUUGUUAAGGAAGAACGAGUGUGAGAAUGGAAAGUUCAUACUGUGACGGUACUUAACCAGAAAGGGACGGCUAACUACGUGCCAGCAGCCGCGGUAAUACGUAGGUCCCGAGCGUUGUCCGGAUUUAUUGGGCGUAAAGCGAGCGCAGGCGGUUAGAAAAGUCUGAAGUGAAAGGCAGUGGCUCAACCAUUGUAGGCUUUGGAAACUGUUUAACUUGAGUGCAGAAGGGGAGAGUGGAAUUCCAUGUGUAGCGGUGAAAUGCGUAGAUAUAUGGAGGAACACCGGUGGCGAAAGCGGCUCUCUGGUCUGUCACUGACGCUGAGGCUCGAAAGCGUGGGGAGCGAACAGGAUUAGAUACCCUGGUAGUCCACGCCGUAAACGAUGAGUGCUAGGUGUUGGGUCCUUUCCGGGGCUCAGUGCCGCAGCUAACGCAUUAAGCACUCCGCCUGGGGAGUACGACCGCAAGGUUGA
rnacentral:rRNA from 1 species